UACGAAGGGUGCAAGCGUUAGUCGGAAUUACUGGGCGUAAAGCGUGCGUAGGUGGUUUCUUAAGUCCGUUGUGAAAGCCCCGGGCUCAACCUGGGAAUGGCAGUGGAUACUGAGAGGCUAGAGUGUGUCAGAGGAUGGUGGAAUUCCCGGUGUAGCGGUGAAAUGCGUAGAGAUCGGGAGGAACAUCAGUGGCGAAGGCGGCCAUCUGGGACAACACUGACGCUGAGGCACGAAAGCGUGGGGAGCAAACAGG
rnacentral:rRNA from 2 species